rfam:Camelus ferus unplaced genomic scaffold scaffold816, whole genome shotgun sequence.
GAGGGUAUAGCUCAAGUUGUAGAGCACAUGCUUAGCGUACAUGAGGUCCUGGGUUCAAUCCCUAGUACCUCUU